rnacentral:ncRNA from 2 species
UGAAUAAUAAGAAUUUAAGGUGCUGUGUAAGCUUAAUAGGGAAAUGUGUGGAACACUGCAGCCCCCGCUACUGUAUAUAAGGACUAACUGCCAGUAAGCCACUGUAACUUGGUUAUGGGAAGGUGGCAGGAAGGAAGAAUUAUAAGCCAGGAGACCUACCUUAAAUGAUAAAAGAAU